rnacentral:rRNA from 1 species
UACAGAGGGUGCGAGCGUUAAUCGGAAUUACUGGGCGUAAAGCGUGCGUAGACGGUUUCGUAAGUCGGAUGUGAAAUCCCACGGCUCAACCAUGGAAGUGCAUUCGAAACUGCGUAGCUAGAGUUUUGGAGAGGAAGGCGGAAUACUCGGUGUAGAGGUGAAAUUCGUAGAUAUCGAGUGGAACACCGGUGGCGAAGGCGGCCUUCUGGACAAUGACUGACGCUGAAACGCGAAAGCGUGGGGAGCAAACAGG